AUUAUAUAAAACAAAUGGAUAAGAUUUUGCCGUUGUCUGUUCAGUUAUUAUAUAGAUACACAGUAUGACGUCAUAAUGCGUAUCUAUAACUGAACAGACAACGACAAAAUCUUAUCUAUUUGUUAAAUAUAAUUUU